rnacentral:rRNA from 1 species
GACGAACGCUGGCGGCGUGCUUAACACAUGCAAGUCGAACGGAAAGGCCCUGCUUUUGUGGGGUGCUCGAGUGGCGAACGGGUGAGUAACACGUGAGUAACCUGCCCUUGACUUUGGGAUAACUUCAGGAAACUGGGGCUAAUACCGGAUAGGAGCUCCUGCUGCAUGGUGGGGGUUGGAAAGUUUCGGCGGUUGGGGAUGGACUCGCGGCUUAUCAGCUUGUUGGUGGGUAGUGGCUUACCAAGGCUUUGACGGGUAGCCGGCCUGAGAGGGUGACCGGCCACAUUGGGACUGAGAUACGGCCCAGACUCCUACGGGAGGCAGCAGUGGGGAAUAUUGCACAAUGGGCGGAAGCCUGAUGCAGCAACGCCGCGUGCGGGAUGACGGCCUUCGGGUUGUAAACCGCUUUCGCCUGUGACGAAGCGUGAGUGACGGUAAUGGGUAAAGAAGCACCGGCUAACUACGUGCCAGCAGCCGCGGUGAUACGUAGGGUGCGAGCGUUGUCCGGAUUUAUUGGGCGUAAAGGGCUCGUAGGUGGUUGAUCGCGUCGGAAGUGUAAUCUUGGGGCUUAACCCUGAGCGUGCUUUCGAUACGGGUUGACUUGAGGAAGGUAGGGGAGAAUGGAAUUCCUGGUGGAGCGGUGGAAUGCGCAGAUAUCAGGAGGAACACCAGUGGCGAAGGCGGUCUCUGGGCCUUUCCUGACGCUGAGGAGCGAAAGCGUGGGGAGCGAACAGGCUUAGAUACCCUGGUAGUCCACGCUGUAAACGGUGGGUACUAGGUGUGGGGUCCAUUCCACGGGUUCCGUGCCGUAGCUAACGCUUUAAGUACCCCGCCUGGGGAGUACGGCCGCAAGGCUAAAACUCAAAGGAAUUGACGGGGCCCCGCACAAGCGGCGGAGCAUGCGGAUUAAUUCGAUGCAACGCGUAGAACCUUACCUGGGUUUGACAUGGAUCGGGAGUGCUCAGAGAUGGGUGUGCCUCUUUUGGGGUCGGUUCACAGGUGGUGCAUGGCUGUCGUCAGCUCGUGUCGUGAGAUGUUGGGUUAAGUCCCGCAACGAGCGCAACCCUUGUUCACUGUUGCCAGCACGUUAUGGUGGGGACUCAGUGGAGACCGCCGGGGUCAACUCGGAGGAAGGUGGGGAUGACGUCAAGUCAUCAUGCCCCUUAUGUCCAGGGCUUCACGCAUGCUACAAUGGCUGGUACAGAGAGUGGCGAGCCUGUGAGGGUGAGCGAAUCUCGGAAAGCCGGUCUCAGUUCGGAUUGGGGUCUGCAACUCGACCUCAUGAAGUCGGAGUCGCUAGUAAUCGCAGAUCAGCAACGCUGCGGUGAAUACGUUCCCGGGGCUUGUACACACCGCCCGUCAAGUCAUGAAAGUUGGUAACACCCGAAGCCGGUGGCCUAACCGUUGUGGGGGAGCCGUCGAAGGUGGGACUGGUGAUUAGGACU